GUAAUGCGAAAAGACAAACAUGUCAUUACAGUCCCAUGAACAAAUGCUUAUAAAAUCAAGUAAAUAUAUAAAAUACUGUUCCUUCAGAACAAAAA